rnacentral:rRNA from 1 species
UACGGAGGGAGCUAGCGUUGUUCGGAAUUACUGGGCGUAAAGCGUGCGCAGGCGGUUUGUUAAGCCAGAUGUGAAAGCCCCGGGCUCAACCUGGGAACUGCGUUUGGGACUGGCAAGCUAGAGUACGGCAGAGGGGGGUGGAAUUCCACGUGUAGCAGUGAAAUGCGUAGAUAUGUGGAGGAACACCGAUGGCGAAGGCAGCCCCCUGGGCCGAUACUGACGCUCAGGCACGAAAGCGUGGGGAGCAAACAGG